ACCCAGCUAAUUUUUUGUGUUUUUAGUAGAGACGGGUUUCACCUAUGAGGUCUGGAUCUCCUGACCUCGUGAUCCACCCACCUCAGCCUCCCAAAGUGCUGGGAUUACAGGCAUGAGCCAGCACGCCCAGCCCGAGAAGAGAUUUUUUAAAAGCCACUUUAUUCGAUUUCCAAAUCUUAGUCUUCCAUAUCUUUAGAGACCACCUGCCAUGUCCUUUCCGUCUGAAGCCUGGCAUCUCGAGCCUGGUGUGAAGGUGUGCUCCCCAGUGCACAACUUCACCCUCCUAGUACAGCUUAGUCCCUCCCACCCUGUUCUCAGCAGCUGGGUGUGACAUACCCGCUAUGUGCCUGAUAUACCCACUAUGUGCGAGACAUACCCACUGUGCACCUGACAUACCCACUGUGAGCCUGACAUGCCCAUUGCAUGCACGAUACCACCCACUGUGUGCAUGCGACAUACCCACUGUGUGCAACAUACCAACUGUUUGCAUGACAUACCCACUGUACACCUGACAUGCCCAUUGUGCGCCUGACAUGCCCACUAUGUGCGUGCAACAUACCCACUGUGUGCGUGCGACAUACCCAGUGUGUGCGUGCGACAUACCCACUGUGUGAGUGCAGGGCCUCUUCUCAUUCGUGCUUGUCCCCCGGAAAGUCAUGUCCGCUGGAACCUCGGAAUGUGGCCUUAAUUUGGUAAACGGGUCUUUCCAGACAUGGUUAGUUAACAUGAGGUCAUGCUAAAUUAAGGCAGGCCUAAGUCCACACUGACUGACGUCCUCAUAAGAAGAGGAGAGGCUGGCUGGGUGCAGUGCCUCCCGCCUGUAAUCCCAGCACUUUGGGGAGACCGAGGCAGCCCGAUCACCUGAGGUCAGGAGUUCGAGAUCAGCCUGGCCAACAUGGUGAAACCCCAUCUCUACUAAAAACACAAAAAUUAGCCAGAAAUUGCUUGAAUCCUGGAGGUGGAGGUUGCAGUGAGCCAAGAUCGUGCCACUGCACUCCAGCCCGGGCGACAGAGUGAAACUGUCUCAACAACAACAACAACAACAAGAACUAAUUCAGAUUCUAAAACCAGUUGCUAAAUGUUUCCUUUUUUUUUUCUUUUUAGACAGAGUUUCAAAAUCUGUCGCCCAGGCUGGAGUGCAGUGGCCGGAUCUUGGCUCACUGCAACCUCCGCCUCCUGUGUUCAAGCAAUUCUCUUGCCUCAGCCUCCCGAGUAGCUGGGAUUACAGGUGCUCGCCACCACACCCAGCUAAUUUUUGUAUUUUUAGUAGAGAUGGGGU
rnacentral:lncRNA from 10 species